UGAGGAAAUAUUAGCACAAUGGAGGGAAACUCUGAUGCAGCAACGCCGCGUGGAGGAUGACGCAUUUCGGUGUGUAAACUCCUUUUAUGAGUCAAGAAAAUGACGGUAGCUCAUGAAUAAGCACCGGCUAACUCCGUGCCAGCAGCCGCGGUAAUACGGAGGGUGCAAGCGUUAUUCGGAAUCACUGGGCGUAAAGGACGCGUAGGCGGGAUGCCAAGUCUGAUGUGAAAUCCUAUGGCUUAACCAUAGAACUGCAUUGGAAACUGGUGACCUAGAGUAUGGGAGGGGGAGAUGGAAUUAGUGGUGUAGGGGUAAAAUCCGUAGAUAUCACUAGGAAUACCGAAAGCGAAGGCGAUCUCCUGGAACAAUACUGACGCUAAGGCGUGAAAGCGUGGGGAGCAAACG
rnacentral:rRNA from 1 species